rnacentral:rRNA from 1 species
UACGGAGGGUGCAAGCGUUAUCCGGAUUCACUGGGUUUAAAGGGUGCGUAGGUGGGCUGGUAAGUCAGUGGUGAAAUCUCCGGGCUUAACUCGGAAACUGCCAUUGAUACUAUCAGUCUUGAAUACCGUGGAGGUCAGUAGAAUAUGUCAUGUAGCGGUGAAAUGCUUAGAUAUGACAUAGAAUACCAAUUGCGAAGGCAGCUGGCUACACGAAUAUUGACACUCAGGCGCGAAAGCGUGGGGAUCAAACAGG